rnacentral:piRNA from 1 species
UCUGAAACCAGAGGUACAGGUGUA